GCCAUGGAGAAUGGCAGUAGAAGCUGAUUGAAGCACAGUAGUGAUUCUUCAUAGAUGAAUUCAAGACUCCUAAGGUGUUCUGUAGUUGGUUCUCUUGCCUUCUCUUUCGCAAUAAAGAUCAAAACCUUUUAAACUAAGGUGGUUAAUAUUUAUUCUUUUCCUGUAAGUUUCGUCUAUGCUAAGGCAACAGUUCUGAAGCUCAAACACAUGGCCGAGGUUGAAAAAUUGUUCUGAUUGGUAUUCAGUCCCUAAACUGGUGGUCUCACUGCGUGACCAGAGAUAGAUUAUUUAUAUACAAAAGGAAGAGUAUAGUAAGGCCCAUGCAUUAAAGGCUUGGCUCCCAGUCUGUGGUGUCACUGGGAAGGGUUACAACUCUUGGAACAUGAGAUCAGGCAGAAGGUAGUGACAAGCCCUUAGAAGUAGCAUUGGGACCAUGACCCUUUACAUGACUCUCUUUUCUCCAUGGUCAUGA
rnacentral:lncRNA from 1 species